rnacentral:misc_RNA from 1 species
AUAGGACUAACAGCACUGGGAAAAAGAUACCGGGGUGGAAAAUUGUUUACUCUGGCGACACGAGGCCUUGUCCAGAACUAGUUGCAGCGUCCCAUGGGGCCACAGUUCUUAUUCAUGAGGCUACCUUUGAAGAUGGCAUGGUGGAAGAAGCCAUAGCGAGAAAUCACAGCACAACACAGGAAGCUAUUGAAGUAGGGGACGCUGCUGGAGCAUAUCGAAUCAUCCUCACUCAUUUCAGUCAAAGAUACCCUAAAAUUCCAGUUUUUGACGAAACACACAUGCACAAAACAAGCAUUGCUUUUGAUAUGAUGAGUGUUAACUUAGCAGACCUACCCAUGCUUCCAAGAGUUCUUCCAUAUCUUAAACUGCUAUUUCGUGAUGAAAUGAUUGUUGAUGAAUCUGAUAAUGUAAAUGUUGCUACAGCAGCAGCUAUUUGAGUUACUGAAUAACACACACUGAUCAAUUUCUUUCUAUUCAUUUAUACGCAGG